GACUCUCUGGUCUGUAACUGACGCUGAGGAGCGAAAGCGUGGGGAGCGAACAGGAUUAGAUACCCUGGUAGUCCACGCCGUAAACGAUGAGUGCUAAGUGUUAGGGGGUUUCCGCCCCUUAGUGCUGCAGCUAACGCAUUAAGCACUCCGCCUGGGGAGUACGGUCGCAAGACUGAAACUCAAAGGAAUUGACGGGGGCCCGCACAAGCGGUGGAGCAUGUGGUUUAAUUCGAAGCAACGCGAAGAACCUUACCAGGUCUUGACAUCCUCUGACAACCCUAGAGAUAGGGCUUUCCCUUCGGGGACAGAGUGACAGGUGGUGCAUGGUUGUCGUCAGCUCGUGUCGUGAGAUGUUGGGUUAAGUCCCGCAACGAGCGCAACCCUUGAUCUUAGUUGCCAGCAUUCAGUUGGGCACUCUAAGGUGACUGCCGGUGACAAACCGGAGGAAGGUGGGGAUGACGUCAAAUCAUCAUGCCCCUUAUGACCUGGGCUACACACGUGCUACAAUGGACAGAACAAAGGGCUGCAAGACCGCAAGGUUUAGCCAAUCCCAUAAAUCUGUUCUCAGUUCGGAUCGCAGUCUGCAACUCGACUGCGUGAAGCUGGAAUC
rnacentral:rRNA from 1 species